UGAAGCUGAUGAACACAUAAGGAAAUGCAAGUCUUAAUGUGCAGCCUAGAAGAGGAGGGAGAGAUCCACUAAAACGUGAGUCUUGCUCAGAUACAGAUGCACCCUGCAUAAUGCUGUGUAUAAGAAUAAAGAGGACAACAUUAUAAAGAUGGACUGUUUGGGAAGGCCAGGCCAUCCUCUUCAGCCUCCAGGGAGAGAAGCUCUGAGAGGAGAGGAAGCUGAGAUGAGACAAGAUCACUCACUGUGAAGGUGGUAGGAGACAGAACCCAGGAAGUCUGCCCUGUAACAUCAGUUUGACAGUGGCUAAACCUGUAAGGGAUCCUCUGUGAUGUCAUGUUUCAGGCAGGAAAGAGCUUCUCAGACCCUCUUUA
rnacentral:lncRNA from 1 species